rnacentral:lncRNA from 1 species
AUGAUAGAUAGAGAUGUGGCUACAACAAUUCCAUAUCUCUCACUGGCACAGAAUACUGGCUGGAAGAAGAGAAACAGCUGUACUCUAGUGCCGUCCCAGAGGAAUAAGGAAGACCUUCCUCAGAUGGAAUUUUGUUGCUGUUUGCAUCUAUUGGGAGAGUUCUCAAAGGUAUUAAGGAUUAUCAUUAGACGAUGCUCAUCAAUCAUUAUUAUUGUGGAUAAGCUUCAUUUGAUCUGCCCUUCAAGAACAUCAAAGUUUCUUCUGCUCAUUUCCAGUUUUUUUAGAUACUCUGGUUUAAAGAACCAUGGCCUAGUUGAAUUCUGUAUAGGAUGGAAAGAGAGGAGUCAUUUUACCUACUGGAAGCUACAUUGAGCAGUGAUCAGGGAGCCUCUGCUGAUGAGAAUGCUUUCAACAUUCUUCUCCAUCAUAUCCAGAUGGAGCCAGACUUAGAAACCUUCUAGUUCUCUGAGUAAGAUCAUCAAACAGAUGAAAAAUAAGAAAGCAUCUGGAAAUGAUAUCAUUCCUGCCAAAUGUUCACACUAGAAAAAAAGUAGCUCAUGUAAUGUGUCUGUAUUCUCCUCAUAAAAUAUAAGAAUAAAAGAGAAAAUGCUACAUGUCCCCAGGGACAAGGAGAUCAUCAGUUUUACAUAAUGAUAUACAUCCUAUGACAGGCUAGAUAUCCAUUCCUGAACCAGCUGCAGAGUAUAUGUUUUAGAUAAAAGAUAGUUUUCAUAAAUAAGUAUCGAUGAGGAAACUCCACAUUCUGUUUUGGAAAGACAAUAUGUUCAUGUCUUAAAGGUGGAUGUUUUGACAUUGAGAUUUCACCUCUCUCUCUACAGUGGAUUUCUGUUUCAUCUAGUUUCUAGUGCUUUUCUUAGGAAACACUGUAUAAAUAUCUUGCAUCCACUUUGAGAUGUUUUUGUUGAGGAAAGCAGCUCAUCAAGGGCUUAGUGACUUGAAAUGAACCUGAAAGUUCCUGCUUUAGAAUAUAACUUCGUUUGAUUUCUGAGCGAUGAGUAAAAUUUUCAAAACUGUAGAGACUACUUUGCAUAUGUCCUUUUCACUAGAAGGUUUGGGAAGAACCUUACUUACUGGAGGUGCACAGGAUUCAGAACCAGAAAUCCUAAGCAGAAAUCCUAUUUUUACCAUUUUCUGAGAAAUUAUUGAACCUCUGUUUUAUCAUCUCCAAACGAGAUAGCAUCAUAACACUAAAGGAAAAGGGCUUUGUAACUGUAAUACACUAUCACAGUCUCAUUCCUUUCUCCUAGUAUGCACUUUUGAAAAACAUUCAACUAAUCCUAAUGUAUUUUUUAAAGUUCACAAAGACUUUCACAUGCAGAUUUCCAUGGGAUGCUCUUGACAGACUCUGAAGCAGAUAUUGCUUUGUUAGUUGUUAUGUUGUUAGUUCUCUGAAAUUAUAAAGUAUUCCUUUUGGCACAGUGCUUUGUAAUUAUAGUUGUCUUAAUGUGUGUAUUUGAUAGGUAGUUGUAUUAGUCAAAUGUUGUCAUAAUAAUGCUG